AUGAAGCUUCUGAACUUCCUCCCAUUAUAUCUGUGGAUGGUGUUGCACCUUUAUGUGUGGAUAGAUCCACUGUCAGAUGUGUCCAGCCUCAUGAAUUUGAAAAUAUUGCUCUCGCACAAAAACGGAUACGAAGGAAAAAACCAAUCCAAAGAAAUCGUAGAAUGAAAGUAAGCUCAGGUAAUUCGAAAUUCUAACAUCAUUAACUUAUUCAAAGAUUAAUUUCUCCUAAUUUCCUGCUUUUAGAAAAAUCUGAAAUGAUUUGAUAAAGAACUCCUCUGCUGUGCUAAGGAAGAACGCCGUAUGAACAUUCGAGAGUUGCCAAUUUUUCUUUCAGUUAAAUGUUUAUUUUGAGGAAAGUUAUGAAUAUUUCUCCUUGAAAUUUUCAGGGACUUUAGGUGAAAUUGCGAGCAAAAUUAUCUGAAAAAUUAGAGGGAGAAUAUUCAUAAGUUUACCAGGAAAUUCGUGUUUUAUCAAGGCAAACUUGGCAACGCCUGAAGGUUCUUACGGCUUUCUUCCUUAGCGCGGCAGUAUUCAAGUGUUACAUAAUCCGAUGAAAUCUUUCCUAAUUUAUUUUUCCUCUCCUGGAGUGUUUGGUCAAUUGCAAAAGCAUGAAAAGCUCAAAGCUCAUCUUAAUAAAACAUUUAAUUGCUCUAAUCCAUCAUAAAAUGGAUUAAUGAGCAACAAUAACAUAAGGUAAUAAUAUAAUGUGGAUUAUUUAAAAUUUUACCUGUUUUUCAGGUAAAAGAAAUCCCUAUUUUCUAAUUGAUUAAUUUUUAUUUAAAAGCCACUUUGUCUAUUCUUUGUUUGCCAAAAUACGAAGGCUGUUCCCAAAAAACUGAAAGUUGGUCUGUUUUGAGGAAAUUUUUGACGUUAUAGUAAUAUAGGCUGUAAGAGGUUGCACCUUCUUUUAUUAACUUUCUAACGAACCCCUGUUAAACUCAUUCCUUAGUAGUAACAGAGCUCAAUUUGUAUUUUUUAAAGAAUACAAAGAAAAGAUGAUGGUAAUGGAUGCACAAUAAUUUUAUGACAAAAAUAGGAAAUUUUUGCUGUAAGUAUCCUCUUUUAACUAUCUCGCCAUUUAAUGAGAGACACAGCUGCUAUGUAAACAAUGUAUGAAUGAUAGUUAAAUGUUCCUGGUCUCCUUUAUGAAAUAAUUGUCACGAAAAGUUCAAAGAAAGUU
rnacentral:lncRNA from 1 species